UUAAAAGACGUCAUAUAGAGUCCCAAUUUUAAAGAUAAUUCAACUAGACAAUCUCUUUGGUCCCUUUAAAAAAUGUUGGUGAUAGUUCUUUUUAAAAAUUACUUUUUAUGGAAUCUAAAUAGGGUUUAAUGUAGGCAAUUUGAGAAAGAAAGAAAAUUGAUGAUAAUGUCAAUUAUUCAUUUAUUGAUUGCUGAGGAACCUGUUUUUUUCAUUACCCAGUAAACAACAUUUCUUCAUACACACAUGUAUAUGUGUGCAUACUCACAUUUAUAUGUGUGUGUACUCACAUUUAUGUGUGUAUACAUACAAGAACCCCUAUUCAAAAUUUAUAGUUAAAAUAACCUUUAUAUGGCAAUACACACUUCAUAAAGUGCUAAUCAUAUUUGGUUUAUAAGCUAAAUUGUUCA
rnacentral:lncRNA from 1 species